rnacentral:lncRNA from 1 species
AUAGAUUUGUUUUUUCUGUUGAGACAUAUCUUUGGAAUGUUUACGCUGUUUUUAUGUUUUAUCUGUUUUGUUGUUUUGGCUAUAUGUAUGAGAAACUUUGAUAGUAAAUAAGGAGCAGAGAAUUAUCCAGUCUUUUAUAAUCUUUUUGGAGGAAGCCUAACUUGUAAUAUAAGCAUUGCACAAUUUCAAAAUGGUAUUUCUUCAAAUCUUCUUUGGAAGAACUCUCCGAC